AGCCCGCGCCGCCGCGCCGAGAGGCGGCGGGGGCGGCCGCGGCCUGGCGCCGCCUCCUCCCCGGGGCGCGCCAGGAGCCGAGGGGCGGCGGGCGCCAUGCCGGCCGUAAACGGUAACGGGCAGGAAGAGCUGUAACAGAGGAAAGGCCCGGCUGCCUUUUUCUCUUCCUUUCUCUCCUACUGCCCUUCAUAGGGCCGGGGACUGCGGCUACGGUCAAGGAGCAGCGCUGCGAAGAGCACCCCCUUCCCCCCCAUACGCUUUGCAGAAACCUAAAACAAAGAAACCUGUCUCAGGUUAAUAAGAAAAUCUGAAGUUACUGAUUGAAGAGUUGCUUGGACAUUAAACUGCUAAAUUAAAUCCUGUUAAACAUCUGUGGAAACUGAAGUCCUAGUCUUACCCUACCAACAUGUUGAAUUCAGCUUAAUUUUUCAACAAAGAAGCAUCAGCAGUCCCUUCUAGCAAAGAAGCUGCUCAGUUUUUGGGAGGAAGAAGAACAGGAUAGAGUAACCUAGAAUCAGCAUUGUUCUUUAUUCUUACUCAGCUCUGAAGCAGAAUUUUAAGCAAUCCUCUUUGGACUUUUACCACUCUGUCCUUAGAAGGAUACCAAAUGAAACAAUCCUUUUUCACAGCAUGCAAGAAGCCCUUCUCUACCAAACAUCCAUAACUAGAGUUCUCUGAACACUAAGAGUAUGAGAUUACUCCCAUACUUUAGGGCUGAUAGCUGGUAUAGGCACCUUUUCAUCCAGAGAGACUGGGAAUCAGACAUCUCCAAUGGACUUCUAUCCAACUCCAACAUUUCUCAGGGAUCACUAUUUACUUUUAGUAAGUAUUUCCAUGGUGGGAAAGGAAGCAUUGUAAAUUUCGUUAUUCUAGAUAGUUGUGGGAUUGACUGUAGUGGCCUCUAGGACUAUAGCUUAGAAACUUCUCAUGCAGAAGUUAAAGUUGUCUCUUUACCUCCUGAAAAAAAGAAAAGUGGGGGAGGGGGGGAAGAGACAGACCUAAACUCUGAAAGACCGAGAAAUGCUCUUCUAUCCAGCUCUCCUUUCCUUUAGUGGUGUGGAGUUCUCUGAGAACACCUGCAGAGGAAAAGUCACCUAUUCUGAUCUGAGUUAAUGGGAGAAGUUUGGAAGCAUUCCCAACCUUGCACUGAUGGGUAUGUACUCUUUUCCCAAAACGGGAUCAAACAAAAGUUCUACAGAACAAGUUGGCACUUUAUAGUCUUCAUUUGAUCCUAGGAGGAGACAGCAUGGCCCACACUUUAAAACUGGAUUGUGUCAUAACAGUUACCAGCAAUCAUGUAUUACCGUAGUGCUAUGCCAGGUCCUUCUAGCAGCACACCAUAAUCACGGGAGAUUUGUUUAGUGAGAUCUGACAGAACUGGAAUAUUCAUAUGGCCCAAGCCGCCACUCUAGUGAAAACAGAAUAAGAUACCAUUUUAUCACCAAAUGCUUUUUAAAGAUUAUCCUUUAGAUGACUGGAUUCAGUGCUCUUGAAGAUAUACAAAGAAGAAAAAAAACAUUCAUUCCAUUUUCACCAUGAAAGAAACCAUAUGGGGGAAGUUUUUUAAGCACUCAGGAACACUUCAUCUGUUUGGAACAGGAAAACUUUUUUUGCACUGAGCAUUUUAGAGUUGCUUAUUUUGGUGGUAAAGGACUAAGACAACAACAACGAAAUUUCAGAAAGAUUUCCUUUGUUCCCUAUGCAGGAGUUUUGAAUAUAAAGUUUUCUACUGCAUAUGUAAGUGCUCAAAAUUAAAUGAGAUGAACGUGGUGAGAAGGAAAGGGAAAACAUAUAUAUAUGAGACAAAACACUGGCCAACAUCCAUACCAAAUAUGUCAGAGUUUUGCUGUUCUCUACUUAAUGCCUGUAUUUUCUUUUGAAUCUAUUUAAAUAAUAUUCAGAGAGUCAACCAAGACUGCUUUGAGUUUUGCAACAUCCUGGAACAGUAAGAGAGAUAAGCUCCCUAUCCUUGAAACAUGACCAGAGUUUGUUAGCUUUUCUAUUCCUGGCAUCAUCAGUGAAUCGUUGUGUAAUCGUAGUCACUUAGACCCUGAUCCUGCAAAUUCUUGUCUGCAGUAGAGUUCUCAAAUGCAGGGCUUUAAACAUAAAUAUCAGAGAAACCAAGGCCUUAACUUCUUGAGGUGUCAGUUUUCCAUCUGCACCACUGUGGAAAUCUUUCUAUUCUUUGCAAAAUAUUUUGCUACAUGCGCACAACACAUGACUGGCAGACACUUAACUGUUUUCAUAUGAGGCAAUAAAGUCAGCCCAUAAUCACAUUUUAGAGCUUUAAACAAAGCAUGCAGAAAGUUAAUUACUCUGAUUGGCUCAGCCAAGACAUAUUAAAUCUAGCAGACAAACUCUCUUGUACAUUACAAAGAAAAAGCCAUGCAUCUAGAGCAUCCUAGUCUGAUGACAGCCAGCACUACUGUUGACCACAUGAUCCCAUGGGCAAUAACUGAUCACACAGGAGCUUCUGUACCUUCCUGUGACAUUUUUGAUUCUCUACUACUAAACAAACUAGUGAGAUGGUUUACAUUAUCACAAGUAUGUAUUUACACAUAUAAAAAAGUAAAAGCAACUGCUCUCCAGUAAAAGCUAGUCUUUGCUAUCAGUUCUUCUUUCCCUGAAGAAAGUUGAGGGCCUACACUUGUAUUUAAGAAGUGGAACCCUUUCAGCAAAUGACAGUUAAUACUACAAGUGCUUUGAUAAACUGAUUGUUGUUUUGUUUCCAUUCUGCAGUUACCAGUGCUAGGUACUAGUUAGCAAUAAUUACUAAAUCAGCUGCUAGUAAUUUUAUAUGUCAUGCUACACACAAACCAUUAGCUGUAAGGAGCACCUUAGGACAGCAACAUGUGCACUGAAUAUUCAUCUUAUGGGAUAAACAUAAGGACGUGAUGUAACCUCCAGGACUACCAAGACAGUCAGGAAAACAAAGACAAAAAAAACUAUGAAAGAAAAGAUCAGGAAAAAGAUUUGAGGUCAGAGUUGAGUUACAUCAUUUUAUGUUAGUCACUUACACAUAUCACUAUUUAUUGAAGUUAGUUUUUGCAUGAUUGUUCAUUCAACUCUUCUUCUCAGGAGCUCUUAUACAAAGAAAACACACCAAUACACAAAAUCCCAGACAGAUGUCCAAUUCAUACCUUUCGUGGUGUAUUUAUCCAGGCCAGAUGACAGAAAUGAGAGUCCACAGAAACUGCAACCACUUCACAGUUCACAUCACGAAAUUCAUUUGCUUUGUUACUGAAAGCUACAAUU